UACGUAGGGGGCUAGCGUUGUCCGGAAUCAUUGGGCGUAAAGCGCGUGUAGGCGGUCCGGUAAGUCCGCUGUGAAAGUCGGGGGCUCAACCCUCGGAUGCCGGUGGAUACUGUCGGGCUUGAGUACGGAAGAGGCGAGUGGAAUUCCUGGUGUAGCGGUGGAAUGCGCAGAUAUCAGGAGGAACACCAAUAGCGAAGGCAGCUCGCUGGGACGGUACUGACGCUAAGGCGCGAAAGCGUGGGGAGCGAACAGG
rnacentral:rRNA from 1 species